rnacentral:rRNA from 1 species
AUUGAACGCUGGCGGCAUGCUUUACACAUGCAAGUCGAACGGUAACAGGCCGCAAGUUGCUGACGAGUUGGGGACUGGUGGGUAAUGCAGCGGAACGUGCCCAGCCGUCGGGUAUAACUACUCGACGGAGGAGCUAAUACCCCAUACGAGCUAUGGAUGAAAGGGUGGAACCGGAAGGCCUCGCGCGAUUUGACCGUCCGAUGUCAGAUUAGGUAGUUGGUGGGGUAAAGGCUCACCAAGCCAACGAUCUGUAGCUGGUCUGAGAGGACGACCAGCCACACUGGGACUGAGACACGGCCCAGACUCCUACGGGAGGCAGCAGUGGGGAAUUUUGGACAAUGGGCGCAAGCCUGAUCCAGCAAUGCCGCGUGCAGGAAGAAGGCCUUCGGGUUGUAAACUGCUUUUGUACGGAACGAAACGGCUCUGGUUAAUACCCGGGGAUAAUGACGGUACCGUAAGAAUAAGCACCGGCUAACUACGUG